ACCAGCUGGACCGCAAGUACAAACGAGACAGAGAGCAAAAAGUUACCGGCUUAAAAAAAACAAUACGUGACAAUAAAUCCAAAUAUGCGGGAAUUUUUCAUCCCCCCUACAUUUGCGUGGACUGAAGGUCACUGACGAGGGAGGAACUCAAACCGUCCUCUGUGUUGAGGUCAAGUCUCUCGCUCAUCUAUUUUUUUUUUUCUUUUAGAGUCGGAAUAGAGAUAAGAUAAGAUAAGGUGGUCGCUGCAAAGCAGGGGGACCAAGACAAGAACUCAAGGACAAGACUCAAAACUGAACUCUACUGGUCAACUAACCGUGGACGUUAUUUUGGGGUCGCCCAGAGAAAAGCCCGGAGAAAAGCGUCUCUUCAAGCACCAAGCUAACCUGCCAACGUGCUCACAGAGACCAGAGGCAACUUUCGGACACUGAGCAUCAUGAUUAUCACUGCACGGAAGGUCACCCCCCCC